rnacentral:rRNA from 1 species
CCUACGGGAGGCAGCAGUGGGGAAUAUUGGGCAAUGGGGGGAACCCUGACCCAGCAACGCCGCGUGAGGGAAGAAGGUUUUCGGAUUGUAAACCUCUGUUCUUGGGGAAGAGAUGAAGACGGUACCCAAGGAGGAAGCCCCGGCUAACUACGUGCCAGCAGCCGCGGUAAU